CAGCCGCCGCGGGAAUACGUAGGGUGCGAGCGUUAAUCGGAAUUACUGGGCGUAAAGCGUGCGCAGGCGGUGCUGCAAGACCGAUGUGAAAGCCCCGGGCUUAACCUGGGAACUGCAUUGGUGACUGCAGCGCUGGAGUAUGGCAGAGGGGGGUGGAAUUCCACGUGUAGCAGUGAAAUGCGUAGAGAUGUGGAGGAACACCGAUGGCGAAGGCAGCCCCCUGGGCCAAUACUGACGCUCAUGCACGAAAGCGUGGGGAGCAAACAGGAUUAGAUACCCCCGUAGUCCCUGUCUCUUAUAC
rnacentral:rRNA from 1 species